rnacentral:lncRNA from 1 species
AGGAACCGAACAAACUUGUCACUGAGGGGGGAACUAGACUGGAACCUAGACACAAGACUACUAAGGUUUGGAUGAGCUAUAAGGUUGGACUUUUAGAAGAUAAAACAUUUUUUGUAGAAUGCCUUCAUUCUUCUCCUUCUCCUUGGCAAGCUCAACUCUAAGUCCAUUUCUUUCUUCCUCCAAUUCUGCCACCCUGGCCUUAAGUCUAGCAAUUUAAGCAUCCUUCAGUCAGCCUCCUUAACUAGGGACCUUACUUUGCUGUUGACUGGAGUUUCGCUGAUGAACCAGGUUUAGCAGAGACAGUGCUACGCAGAUAGUCAAAGCUUAGAAGAGUUUUGAUGCCAAAGUUUUCCUUUCUAGAUGUCAUCUCCCAAUUCUUCAAGGGAACAUGUCGACAUUGAAGCACAGUAGCCAGAAUAAAUCCAUAGGGGAUGGCAUGGGCCUUAGAACCAUUGAUUACCCUUUCCAACAUGUGUACCAUGAACACAACCAGUUGAUCGGUU